GUGGGGAAUCUUCCGCAAUGGACGAAAGUCUGACGGAGCAACGCCGCGUGAGUGAAGAAGGUUUUCGGAUCGUAAAGCUCUUUCGUUAGGGACGAACGUGCUCUUUGUGAAUAAUGAGGAGUAAUGACGGUACCUAAAUAAGAAGCCACGGCUAACUACGUGCCAGCAGCCGCGGUAAUACGUAGGUGGCAAGCGUUGUCCGGAAUUAUUGGGCGUAAAGCGCGCGCAGGCGGGAUAUCAAGUCUGUCUUAAAAGUGCGAGGCUCAACCUCGUGAGGGGACAGAAACUGGUAUUCUUGAGUGUCGGAAAGGAAAGUGGAAUUCCAAGUGUAGCGGUGAAAUGCGUAGAGAUUUGGAAGAACACCAGUGGCGAAGGCGACUUUCUGGACGAUGUCUGACGCUGAGGCGCGAAAGCUAGGGGAGCGAACGGGAUUAGAUACCCCGGUAGUCC
rnacentral:rRNA from 1 species